rnacentral:rRNA from 1 species
GACGAACGCUGGCGGCGUGCCUAAUACAUGCAAGUAGAACGCUGAAGGAGGAGCUUGCUUCUCUGGAUGAGUUGCGAACGGGUGAGUAACGCGUAGGUAACCUGCCUGGUAGCGGGGGAUAACUAUUGGAAACGAUAGCUAAUACCGCAUAAUAGUAGAUGUUGCAUGACAUUUGCUUAAAAGGUGCAAUUGCAUCACUACCAGAUGGACCUGCGUUGUAUUAGCUAGUUGGUGGGGUAACGGCUCACCAAGGCGACAAUACAUAGCCGACCUGAGAGGGUGAUCGGCCACCCUGGGACUGAGACACGGCCCAGACUCCUACGGGAGGCAGCAGUAGGGGAUCUUCGGCAAUGGACGGAAGUCUGACCGAGCAACGCCGCGUGAGUGAAGAAGGUUUUCGGAUCGUAAAGCUCUGUUGUAAGAGAAGAACGAGUGUGAGAGUGGAAAGUUCACACUGUGACGGUAUCUUACCAGAAAGGGACGGCUAACUACGUG